rnacentral:rRNA from 1 species
GAUGAACGCUGGCGGCGUGCCUAAUACAUGCAAGUCGAGCGAACAGACGAGGAGCUUGCUCCUCUAACGUUAGCGGCGGAGGGGUGAGUAACACGUGGAUAACCUACCUAUAAGACUGGGAUAACUUCGGGAAACCGGAGCUAAUACCGGAUAAUCUAUUGAACCGCAUGGUUCAAUAGUGAAAGACGGUUUUGCUGUCACUUAUAGAUGGAUCCGCGCCGCAUUAGCUAGUUGGUAAGGUAACAGCUUACCAAGGCAACGAUGCGUAGCCGACCUGAGAGGGUGAUCGGCCACACGGGAGCUGAGACACGGUCCAGACUCCUACGGGAGGCAGCAGUAGGGAAUCUUCCGCAGAGGGCGAAAGCCUGACGGAGCAACGCAGCGUGAGUGAUGAAGGUCUUCGGAUCGUAAAACUCUGUUAUUAGGGAAGAACAAAUGUGUAAGUAACUAUGCACGUCUUGACGGUACCUAAUCAGAAAGCCACGGCUAACUACGUG